UACGUAGGGGGCAAGCGUUAUCCGGAUUUACUGGGUGUAAAGGGAGCGGAGACGGAACUGCAAGUCUGAUGUGAAAGCCCGGGGCUCAACCGCGGGACUGCAUCGGAUACUGUAGAUCUGGAGUGCCGGAGGGGCAAGCGGAAUUCCUGGUGUAGCGGUGAAAUGCGUAGAUAUCAGGAGGAACACCGGCGGCGAAGGCGGCUUGCUGGACGGCAACUGACGUUGAGGCUCGAAAGCGUGGGGAGCAAACAGGAUUAGAUACCCGUGUA
rnacentral:rRNA from 1 species